CCUACGGGAGGCAGCAGUAAGGAAUAUUGGACAAUGCUCGCAAGAGUGAUCCAGCCAUGCCGCGUGCAGGAAGAAUGCCCUAUGGGUAGUAAACUGCUUUUGAACUAGAGAAAACCCCAGUACGUGUACUAGGCUGAUAGUAUAGUUAGAAUAAGCAUCGGCUAACUUCGUGCCAGCAGCCGCGGUAAGACGAAGGAUGCAAGCGUUAUCCGGAUUCAUUGGGUUUAAAGGGAGCGUAGGUGGACUGAUAAGUCAGUGGUGAAAUCUCCGAGCUUAACUCGGAAAUUGCCAUUGAUACUGUUGGUCUUGAGUACAGUUGCUGUGGGCGGAAUAUGACAUGUAGUGGUGAAAUACAUAGAGAUGUCAUAGAACACCGAUUGCGAAGGCAGCUCACAAAGCUGUAACUGACACUGAGGCUCGAAAGUGCGGGGAUCAAACAGGAUUAGAUACCCUGGUAGUCCGCACCGUAAACGAUGAUUACUCGCUGCUAGGGGGCAACCCUUAGUGGCUUAGCGAAAGCGAUAAGAAUCCACCUGGGGAGUACGCCGGCAACGGUGAAACUCAAAGGAAUUGACGGCUUGAGGACGNGCGACGGACGACACGAGGGAGGAGG
rnacentral:rRNA from 1 species